UACGUAGGGUGCAAGCGUUGUCCGGAAUUAUUGGGCGUAAAGAGCUCGUAGGCGGUCUGUCGCGUCUGCUGUGAAAACUCAGGGCUUAACCCUGAGCUUGCAGUGGGUACGGGCAGACUAGAGUGCGGUAGGGGAGACUGGAAUCCUGGUGUAGCGGUGAAAUGCGCAGAUAUCAGGAGGAACACCGGUGGCGAAGGCGGGUCUCUGGGCCGUAACUGACGCUGAGGAGCGAAAGCAUGGGGGAGCGAACAGGA
rnacentral:rRNA from 1 species